UUUUCGUCUCUUCGGUUGUUUUGUGUCUUGUUGUGGUGGUUUAGCUUUAAUUGUCUUUUUGUGUUGUAUCUUUUGUGGUCGUUAGGGAUGUCGUUGUUCAUGUUUUAUGUGUCUUAAUGGUGCUUUUUUGCAUCUGUGGCUGUUUUGCAUGUUUUGUGGUUGGUUUGAUUGCAUCUCUGUUAGUUGUUUUUGUGUCUUGUUUUGGUUGUUUUGCAUCUAUUUUUUGUAGCUUUAAUUGUUCUUUUGUGUUUGUUUUAUGUGAUUUUACUUUUUUUUUUUUAAACAUCUUUGUGCUUGUUUUGCAUCUUUUUUAAACAUUUCCUAGUCUGUAUUUUUUGUCUCUGGUUGUUUUGAGUCUAUUUAUAGUUGUUUUGCAUCUCUUUCUUGCUGUUUUUGGUCUAGUUGUUGUUGCUUUGCAUCUGUGGUUGUUUUUUGUGUCUUUGUGGUGGUUUUGCAUGUUUUGUGGUUGUUUGGUUGCAUCUCUUUCUUGGUUUGUAGGAUUUUGUGGUCACUUUUUGUCUCUGGCUGUUUUUGGUCUUGUUUUGAUUGUUUUGCAAUUACUUUUUUGCUUUGCUGUUUGGUAUGUCUUUUUGUGACUUAAUGGUCAUUUUUGUGUCUGUGGUUGUUGUGCAUCUGUUUUUGAAAUUUCUUGUCUAUAUUUUAUGUCUGGCUGUUUUUCUGACUCUUUGUGGUUGUUUUUGGUCUAUUUGUUGUUUUUUUGCAUCUGUGGUUGUUUUGUGUGUGGUUAUUUUGCUUUUUUUCUGCUGAUUAUUGUCUCUGUAAUUUCUUUUUUUUUUUUAGUUUGUGGUUGUUUUGUCUGUCUUUGUUGUUGCUUCAUGUGUCUUUGCUUUUUUUCUGUCUCUUUGUGGUUGUUUUGGGUCUCUUUUGCGUCUAUUAGAUUUUGGCAGUGAUGUGGCUCAUAGUCUGGAGCCACAGAUUUGUUCAAGAUUUCCGUAUCAUUGUGAGAUAGCGGCACGGUGUCACUGUAACCAUGACAACAAAUGAACACUACGUCAGCUGUCUGCUGUGAUCCUACUACAAAUCCACCGCUGUGGACUUAUCUGGACUUAUUCGUCGGAAAUGAUACAUGGAACAACUGAUUAAAUUGUGGGGGUGUUUCUGAGUCCCAUCAAUUCCCGCCACCCGCUACAUAUUUAGGUAUCCGUACAUAACGUACAC
ensembl:lncRNA